GGGGAAUUAGCUCAAAUGGCAGAGCGCUCGCUUAGCAUGCGAGAGGCAGGGGGAUCGAUACCCCCAUUCUCCA